rnacentral:tRNA from 1 species
ACCCCGGUGGUGUAAUAGGUAACGAAGCGCUCAAAUAUCAGCGGAGAGAUACAGGUUCGAAUCCUGUCCGGGGAAC